CAGGCAGGGGUGAUGAUUCACGGCUAUUUUUGCCAGCCACCCACCACAGGUGGACUCCUGUUGUGGGGCAGAGACACAGGGCUGACUUGCUUCCUGAGUGAGAGUGAGGCAGGGUGGAUAGAACCUUCCCUUUGAACUGUCCUCCCCAUUUCCAAGGUCUUACUGAGCCUCCCACUGACCCCGGCUUCUGCUCUCUCGCCCAGACCCCAGGCGUCUUCUGGAAGAGAGAUGUGUGGAGACAGCAGUCUCCUCUCCCGUCCCCAGCUCUGCUGUAGGCUCAUCCCGAGUCUUCUUGGCGUCUCAGUUUCCCAUCCAGGCGACCUGAGGCUUUAUCUGGUGUGUUCUGGACAGAGUACACUUCUUCGUUCUGAAGACUUGCCUCAUGACCUGCUGCAGCCAGCGGAAUGAGAGCGGACAUAAGAUGUUUCACCUCCAACCGAGGGCUUCCGACGUUGUGUGGCUGUGUUGGCCUUUCAUCCCCCUGCCUUGCACCUUGAGAGGGGUAGGCCUGGGUGGCGAUUGUGCCUUCAGCCUGAGCCCUGGAGUGAGUGUGUGAGCAGACCCCAGUGGCGAGCAGAGACGCUUCAGCCGACGUGCGACCUGUGAGCAGGAAGCAUGCGCCUGCUGCUGUUGGAGUUUUUGUCUCACACGUGUGGUGGCCCUCGCUGGCCUGCAUAGACUGCUGCCGGGCAGAGUGACGCUCACAGACCCGGCUCUCCCAGGCCUCUGUGAUGCCGGCUGCUGUUGGCAUUUGUUGAAAUUCAUGAUCUCGUAGAGCCCAGGCCACGGGCAGACCCUCUCACAGAACUUCCCUUAGCAUUUCUGCUCCUUGGGUAUUCAGAAGGUGCAGAGGCUAUUUCCUGUUUGGUUCUUGUUCACAGAUGCAUCCAGAAUUCUUCCCCUCCCUGGAGACCACCCUCAUGGAGCAGGAGCCACGUUAACUCCCCUUUCCUCUUGCUACCAUGCUCGUGCCCCACACGUGGUGGAUGGUCAGACAAUGUUUGCUACGCUGGAUUGACUUGAGCGUUCACCCCACAGGGCAUGCUGAGUGCUGGCAGGAAUCGCCAACAGGGCCCAGCCUGUGCUCCGUGCUUCGAGGCUGGAUCUGUCAUUGUGAGAAUGAGGGGCUGGGCGGCCUCCCAGGGCUCUUGGCCUGGGGCCUGGGCCUGGCAAAAAUGUGAUCCCUCUCACUGUCCUCAGGAUCUCGGCACCCAGAGCCUGUGUCGGGGGGAACGAGGCAGUGUCACACACUGGUCCACCCCCGUCCUGGGAAGCCGGUGGACUGCCUUAUCGGUGGCCCCUGGUGGCCCCAGCAGUCCUGCUGUGGUUCCCGGAGCAGAGGCUGCCCUGCAUCACGGGGAAAUCGGUUUGCAUCAGGAUGCUUGGGGAUGCGUCAGUGCUGGCAUUUGCGGACCUGGUACAGAGACAGCUCUGGGCUCACUGGUGCUUCUCCCGUAGUGGAUGGUGACCCUGGUUCUUGGACAGGCCUGUACCGUGGAAGCUGCCCAGACCCCACAGGCCUUGCUAAGCUAACGGCUGUAGAUUCGUGAAGGUAUCUGGGCCAUGUGGAUCGAAGCUGGGUCAAAACACGAGGUCACAGGCAGCAAUACGAGUUAACCUCUGCUCCGAAUCCUGCUAAAGUCAACUCUAACAAAGGAAGGGCUCUCCUGCUCUCUCUGUGCAAAGAAAGGGAUGAGCGACACGCACUUAGCUGCAGCGGGAGAUUCAGGGUUUAUUAGUUAUCCAUCAUUUAUCUGUCACUGCAGACAAAGUACUCCAAAGUUCGUGGCUUAAAGGAACUGUAAGCAGUUAUUAUCCUCAGAGUUUCUGUGGGUCAGCUUGGUCAGGCAGCCCUGGCUCAGGGUCUGUCAUGAAGUUGCUGUCACCUGGAGACUUCCGAGGAAUGGUUGCUGUUGGGAGUUGGUAGGGGCCUCAGUUUCCCCACAUGAUUCCAGCUCCACAUCUGCUUGACUGCUCCUGAUCUGGUGGCUGUCUUCCCUCAGAGCAAGCGAUCUGAGAGAGAGAUCUAGGCAGAAGGCAUCCUUUUUAUGACGAAGCUUUGGAAUCAUAAAGCAGUACUUGUGCAAACA